ensembl:snRNA U1 U1 spliceosomal RNA
AUACUUAUCUGGCAGGGGAGAUACCAUGAUCAUGGGGGUGGUUUUCCCGGGGGGAGGCUCAUCUAUUGCACUGUGGGUGUGUUAACUCCUGCGAUUUCCCUAAAUGUGGGGAACUCCACUGCAUAAUUUGUGGUAGUGGGGGACUGCGUCUGUGCUCUCUCCUG